GGGGCUGAUCGGUUUCGACAGCGCCUGCGAACCCGCGAGAAGCGGGCCGAGGAUGUGGGGUUAUCUCGUAAACGCUCCCUGCAAAACAAUAAGUGCCAAUGCUAAGCGCACUGACUUCGCCCUCGCUGCGUAAGCGAGCCCGAUAGUCCGUCAGACCGUGUGUGACCCCGCCACGGAUCCUGGCGUCAUUUAGGGGUCUUGCUGCGUGACGGCGUCUGGACGUCACGCGGGACUUCCCAGGCUGGGCUCGUCGCUUAGGUGUCUGUGACAAAGGUCGGAGCCGAGCAGAACGUCUGCACAGACUGCGCCCGGAGAAAACGCGGAGACCCAGCGUUGGACGGGGGUUCGAUUCCCCCCAGCUCCACGA
rnacentral:tmRNA from 1 species